GAUGAACGCUGGCGGCGUGCCUAAUACAUGCAAGUAGAACGCUGAAGCGGGAGCUUUCUCUUCUGGAUGAUUUGCGCACGGGUGAGUAACGCGUAUGGAACCUGCCUCUUAGCGGGGGAGAACUAUUCGAAACGAUAGCUAAUACCGCAUGACAUCAAUUAUAGCAUGAUAACUAUUUAAAAGAGGCAACUUUUCCACUACCAGAUGAUCCUGCGUUGUAUUAAGUAGUUGGUGAGGUAACGGCUCAACAAGGAGACGAUACAGAGUCGACCUGAGAGGGGGGUCGGCCACACUGGGAAUGAGACACGGCCCAGACUCCUACGGGAGGCAGGAGGAGGGGAUCUUCGGCAAUGGAGGGAAGGCUGAACGGGGCACGGCGCGUGAGUGGAGGAGGGUUUCGGAUCGUAAAGCUUCGUUGAUAGGGGAGGACGAAUGUGAGAGUGGAAAGUUCACACUGUGACGGUAUCUUACCAGAAAGGGACGGCUAACUACGUG
rnacentral:rRNA from 1 species